AUUGAACGCUGGCGGCAGGCCUAACACAUGCAAGUCGAACGAGUGGCGGACGGGUGAGUAAUAUCUGGGAAAUUGCCUGAUGGAGGGGGAUAACUACUGGAAAGGGUAGCUAAUACCGCAUACUAUCGGAUCUGCCCAGAUGGGAUUAGCUAGUAGGUGGGGUAAUGGCUCACCUAGGCGAAGAUCCGUAGCUGGUCUGAGAGGAAGACCAGCCACACUGGAACUGAGACACGGACCAGACUCCUACGGGAGGCAGCAGUGGGGAAUAUUGAACAAUGGGCGCAAGCCUGAUGCAGCCAUGCCGCGUGUAUGAAGAAGGCCUUCGGGUUGUAAAGUACUUUCAGCGGGGAGGCGUUACCCGCAGAAGAAGCACCGGCUAACUCCGUGCCAGCAGCCGCGGUAAUUC
rnacentral:rRNA from 1 species